rnacentral:tRNA from 1 species
GCCUGGGUGGCUCAGUCGGUUAAGCGUCUGACUUCGGCUCAGGUCAUGAUCUCGUGAUCCGUGAGUUCGAGCCCCGCAUCGGGCU